rnacentral:rRNA from 1 species
GAUGAACGCUGGCGGCGUGCCUAAUACAUGCAAGUAGAACGCUGAAGGAAGGAGCUUGCUCUUUCCGGAUGAGUUGCGAACGGGUGAGUAACGCGUAGGUAACCUGCCUGGUAGCGGGGGAUAACUAUUGGAAACGAUAGCUAAUACCGCAUAACAGUAGAUGUUGCAUGAUAUCUACUUAAAAGGUGCAAUUGCACCACUACCAGAUGGACCUGCGUUGUAUUAGCUAGUUGGUGAGGUAACGGCUCACCAAGGCGACGAUACAUAGCCGACCUGAGAGGGUGAUCGGCCACACUGGGAAUGGGACAAGGCCCAGACUCCUACGGGAGGGAGCAGUAGGGAAUCUUCGGCAAUGGACGGAAGUCUGACCGAGCAACGCCGCGGGAGUGAAGAAGGGUUUCGGAUCGUAAAGCUCUGGUGUAAGAGAAGAACGAGUGUGAGAGUGGAAAGUUCACACUGUGACGGUACCUUACCAGAAAGGGACGGCUAACUACGUG